UAGCAGGAUUUCCCCCUUGUUCACUCUCGUUUUAUCAGCAAUUAUGCGGUACUGUUUGCACUACUAACGCUCUGCUAAUUUUUCUUUUAUGGCCCUAAAGUACACAGUGUUCUUUAUAGUAAAUGAUGCACUAAAUGGAACGGGAGAUUUUGGAAUUGAAUUUAUUGCCCCCGUUUUGUAAGAAGGGUAAUUCACGUUGUGUAAUUUAGUACCUUCCUUGUUAAAAAGUGAAAAACCGUAUUUUGCUUGAUUCAAGAGAACGAUAAUGAAGUACUGAUCGUUUGUUGCACUUUUUCAAGCUAAACUGAAAUUUAAAGUCGGCAAAAGUAUGGUGAAAUUGAUUUUCAGCGGCUUGUGCCUUGAAUCUCGAGAAGUUAGUGAGAGUUUGUCUAUAAUUAAGUGAUGAAAACACUUGGUGCUAGUUGCAUCCACCUGGUAAAGAAAGCUCAUAAAAUGGUUAUAUUUUCUUUUGAAGUACAAACUAAUAAUUUGUAAUCUUUAGCUGGAACAAUCAUCAGCUUGGUUUCUAUGAUAGAUUGCACGUUGACGAAGCUGCUUUUAGGGAAGACCAACUUUUGUACAGCUCUCGAACGACAACAAAAUCUUCUUUUUAUAUAAACAUCAAUUUAAUCUCGUUAGAAUCCUAUUAGUUAACAAAACAUGGACUCAAAUUAAUUGUGUGGAAGGAAUUGAGGCGAACUCGAUUGUAUAUAAUUGUUUAGUGUGUCGAGUCGAAAUAGAUUGCAAAGCAUUGAGGUUGACUUUAGGAUUUCACGUAGCACAAAACAUGCUUUAAAAUAAUUUGUUGCAUUAAAUGCAACAAUCUUGUUCCACUUACGAAACAAAUAUUACAAAAACAAAUAAUACAGUUGAGAAAUAUUCACUUUCGUGAAUCACUGUAAAUAGGUAUACAGUGCGGCUUUAAAAUUUAAAAUUAUAACUAGUCAUUUAAAGUUAGCUUGUUGGCUAGAAACCAAUUUUUGGCCGUCAAAACCGACUGUAUAUAAACCGUUUUCCUCAUCUACCGCAUUCACUAGGGUGGUAUCAUCUGCAAAUUGAAAUGGACUGACACGAUACAUUCGAGGAAGUCAUUUACAUACACUAGAAACAGAAGAGGCUCCAAGAGUGAACCUUGUGGCCCACCAUGAUGUAAGGGUAGAAUUUUUGAGUUUAACUUUUUCCAGUUUACAAACUGACCCUAUUCUUUAAAAAGGAUAGCAACUGUUGUCAAGCGUUCUGAUUUAAAUGAUAUUUUUUUUUAGCUCGAACCACAGACCAUUAAACAAAUAGGAAGACAGUUCAUUGCCAUUUAAUCGUAUAUAUAGGAUAAUAGUCUAGGAAGCGACACUAGCGCUGCGCGAGCGGCUGGAGCAAACACUCAUUCGCUUAUACUCGUGUAAAUUUCGUAAUAGAUCGUGUUUACUGUCAACAAAUAUCUCCUUUAACGUCAUUCAAAUUCAAACGCCAAAUUAUAAUUUUUUCAAAAGGUUUUCAGUAUUUUACUUGCUUCAGAUACAACGGAAAUGAAAAUUAUUAAUAAAUAUCGAUGCAAAGUUCCAAAUUGUCCGUCAGUAUACGCAACAGGAAUCAACAAGAACAAAAAUAAACAUUUUUUUAUUUUUCCUAAAUCUCCAGUUCAAAAACAAAAGUGGAUAGAUACCAUUAAUGCCUCCUGCACAGAAAAAAUUGUUGUUAAUUGUAAAAAAGCUUACAUUUGUGAAGAUCAUUUCAGUAAAAAUUACUUUACGAGCACCGCACAAACGAACCUUCAUAAAUACGCAAUUCCCACUAUUUUUAAGGACAGUAGUCAAGCUGUGAUUAAUACUAAUGGUGAUGGGUAUUCCAGUAAAAGUGAACAAAAAAAUUAUAAAAUUUUUAUUUUUUUAGUCGGAACUAUUCCGGAAUCUGAGUAUGAUGGUAGCGUAAAUUCACAAAGACGCAAACGCCAUUGUGAUACUCUCACGACAAUAUCACAUACUCCGAAAAAAAGAAAAUAUUCACCCAGUGUUUUGAAAAAGGUAGGAUGCAAAAGAGUGGACGACUUAACUCCUAGAGAGCAAACUUUAUUUAGAAUAACAAAACGCCAGAAACAGGCAAUAAACAGAUUAAAUUUAAAAUUAUGUAAAUCAAAAAAAAACUUGGAUCUUCUAAAACGUGCUCCCCAAAAUCAUCUAAUUAACAUUUUACAAGAAAAUUGCAAUUCUGUAAGUGCAAGCUUCAUAAAAUCCCAAUUUGAUAACAUGAAAAAAAAAAUUCCUAGAUGGUCAACUGAAAAUAAAAUAUUUGCCUUGGCUAUGUACAAAAGAGGUCCAAAAUGUUAUCGCUUUUUAAAACAUUUUUUCAGACUUCCGUCAAAAACAACUUUGUACAAAUUUUUGAAAAAUAUACCUUUUGAAUGUGGCGUGAAUGACGAACUAUUUGAUAAGUUAAAAAUGAGAAUUGAGAAACUGAAACCAAGAGAUCGAUUAUGCAAGCUUAUGUUUGAUGAAGUGUCUUUAUCUACAAAUUUAACCUAUUCGAGAUCUACUGACAAAAUUAUUGGUUUUGAGGAUUUGGGAUCUUUAGGACGAAAUAAAAAUUAUGCUAACCAUGCGUUAGUAUUUAUGAUACAAGGUAUUAGUUCCGGAUGGAAACAACCAAUAGCGUACUAUUUUGUU